UUAAGUUUGGCAGAAAAAUGUGUUUGUUUUAGGAACAAAAUAUAUGAGUAUAUUUCAUAACUUGUA
rnacentral:tRNA from 1 species